rnacentral:lncRNA from 1 species
CCAGCUAUGCAACCCAAGAGGGGGGGGUGAAUUGGGUUUCUAAAAAUUUUAAGCUUAACUAAUGACUUAUGAAAAAUGCUUGUCAAAAGCUAAAUGAAUGAGAAGAAUAACCUUAGUUCAAGAUUAAUUGCCUAAAGCAAGAAUGCAAGGAAAUAAUGAAGAGUUAAAGAGAAGCAAUUAUGCACACCACAAACAAAAGGAUUUAUAGUGGUUCGGUGCCAACCUUGCACCUACAUCCACUCCCCAAGCUCCUACUUGGGAAUUCCAAUCCACUAAACUUGUAUUCAACCCGAAUACAAACGUCGGAAACUCCGACACUAGCUAUCCCAAGCUAGUCCACUUGUUUUCCGGGUACAAGCCAACCCAAUACACUCCGAUUCAAGGUUCGGAUCAACCUUUCCUUAUUUUGGAACCCCUCCAAAAUAAAAACAAUCACUCAAAAUGAGUAAAAUAAUUUAUAGCACAAAUAAGUACAAGAAA